rnacentral:tRNA from 4 species
GGGCGAUUAGCUCAGAGGUAGAGCGCCAUCCUCACAAGAUGGAGGUCGGAGGUUCGAGUCCUCCAUCGCCCACCA